CCUAACACAUGCAAGUCGAACGGUAACAGGAAGAAGCUUGCUUCUUUGCUGACGAGUGGCGGACGGGUGAGUAAUGUCUGGGAAACUGCCUGAUGGAGGGGGAUAACUACUGGAAACGGUAGCUAAUACCGCAUAACGUCGCAAGACCAAAGAGGGGGACCUUCGGGCCUCUUGCCAUCGGAUGUGCCCAGAUGGGAUUAGCUAGUAGGUGGGGUAACGGCUCACCUAGGCGACGAUCCCUAGCUGGUCUGAGAGGAUGACCAGCCACACUGGAACUGAGACACGGUCCAGACUCCUACGGGAGGCAGCAGUGGGGAAUAUUGCACAAUGGGCGCAAGCCUGAUGCAGCCAUGCCGCGUGUAUGAAGAAGGUCUUCGGGUUGUAAAGUACUUUCAGCGGGGAGGAAGGGAGUAAAGUUAAUACCUUUGCUCAUUGACGUUACCCGCAGAAGAAGCACCGGCUAACUCCGUGCCAGCA
rnacentral:rRNA from 1 species